AUGAUUCUUCCUCUGACCAUCCGUCGAAGAAUGUAGAACCUCGUAAUAAGUCGUUUCAGUCUCGUUUCCCUAAUUCUUCCAGAAACUUUGUUGCUUCUGUGGCACAAAGCUCUUCUCACACGAAAUGUUUUCGAUGUGGUAUGUCCAAUCAUAACACUAAAGAGUGUAAGAGCUCUCGAGAGAUCGUUUGCUUUAAAUGCGGAGAAAAAGGGGUGAAAACUCCAGAAUGUGUUAAAUGUAACUCCAAGACAAAAAACUAAAUAGGGUCUUUUCUGCUAAUAACAAUUCUAGAUCUUCUGCUCCCUGUCGUGCAGAAAAGACAAUCUUCUUUAAUCCUCCGAAGGGAGAUGACAGGGUAUAUGCUCUCUUAAAUAUACUUAACUUGAAUUUCAAGGCGUUAUUAGAUUGUGGAGCCAGUGUUAGUUUCCUGGGCCACAACAGCCAUUUAGUAUUCGCCACCGGUGGGAUACCUAUUCAAAAACAUACUAAACCGGUUAUGGUGAAUGUAGCUGACGAUCAUCGAAUCGUAGCCACUGAAUAUAUGAUUAUACCAGUAAAUUAUAAAGGUCAAGUUAAACUUAUACAUUUUAAUAUUCAACCGGAGAUUGCUACUCCAAUGGUACUUGGUUUAAACUUUUGGAGAGCCUAUGGAUUAGCUCCUGGCCUCAUUACUGAUAUAGAAAAGACUGAUUCUCAUUAUAUUGCUAGUCUUGACGUUUUACCGUCAGAGACAGGACUUACUACAUAUGAUUCCUUAUCUUCUGAACAAAAAUCUCAACUUGAGACUACUAAAUCUCUUUAUGAUCAAAUUGAUACGGAUAAGGUUGGUCUGGGAAAGACUCACUUAAUUGAACAUGUUAUAAAUACUGGGGAUACUCCUCCGAUAAAACAAAAAUAUUAUCGACUUAGUCCUUUUAAACAAGCUGCUUUAGCGAAAGAAGUUGAUCGUAUGCUGAGGGAAGGAAUUGUCGAACCUUCGCAUUCUCCAUGGAAUUCUCCUGUCGUUAUGGUGGAAAAACCUAACGGAGAUUUAAGACUUUGUUUAGAUAGUAGAAAAGUAAAUGCAGUUUCAAAAUCUGAUGCGUAUCCCGUACCACACGUUCAAUAUAUACUGGACAACUUACGCGAUGCGAAAUUCCUUACAUCUCUUGAUUUAAGUGCGGCAUAUCAUCAGAUCCCUCUUAGUGAAGACUCUAAGGAGAAAACUAGUUUUACUGUACCAGGGAAGGGAUUAUUCCAUUAUAAGAGAAUGUGUUUUGGUUUAGUAGGUGCCUCUGCUACUAUGCAACGUCUCAUGGACAAUCUCUUUACUUCUCAUUUUGAUCACAAGGUUUUCUGUUAUAUUGAUGACAUAAUUAUUUGUACUUCCGAUUUUGAUGAACAUAUAAGGUUGCUCAAUGCCGUUUUUGAAAAACUAAAAUCGGCAAACUUAACUAUUAAUAUGAAAAAAUCAUCCUUCUGUAGGAGUGAACUUAAAUAUCUUGGGUAUUUAGUUGAUCGAUACGGUCUGCGAACCGAUCCGUCUAAAAUUGAUGUAAUUUUAAAUUUUCCUACUCCCAAAGAUGCUAAGGAUAUUAAACGUUUUCUGGGAAUGUGCGGUUGGUACCGACGUUUCAUUAAUAAUUUCGCAAAAAUAGCUCGUCCCUUAUCUCGCUUAACGAGUAAGAAAGUAAAAUUUGAAUGGACAGAUGAAGUCAACGAUUCUUUUAACAUACUUAAAUCUGCCUUAGUGUCUUCUCCUAUUCUUAAAUGUCCCGACUUUAAUGAAUGCUUCUAUAUCCAUACGGAUGCAUCUUCGUACGCCGUAGGCGCUGUUCUGAUUCAACCUUUUAAUGGAGUCGAUCAUCCUAUUGCCUACUGCAGCCGUACACUUAACCAACCAGAGACGAACUAUUCAGCUACUGAACGCGAACUCUUAGCUGUGAUUUAUGGUCUUGAGCAAUUUCGUGCAUAUGUAGAAGGGAGAAAAUGUUAUAUUGUAACAGAUCAUGCAUCUUUAAAAUGGUUUCAAAACUUAAAAAAUCCUACAGGACGAUUAAAUAGAUGGGCGUGUAGAUUGAGUCAAUUUAAUUUUGAAAUAAUUCACCGGAAGGGCAAAGAACAUGUCAUACCUGACUGUCUUUCUCGUAUUCACGUCAGUUCUUUAAAUUCUGCUACUAUUCAAGAUCCUUGGUAUCUUGAUCUAUAUAAAAAGGUGUCUGAAAAACCUACUCUCUUUCCCAACUUUAAAAUUGAAAAUGAUAAACUUUUCCGUUACUCUAAGAAUAAGUAUCGUCUGACAGCUCAAUUUGACUGGAAGCUGGUACUUCCUUAUGAGCAUCGUAAUGGAGUCCUAAAUAAGUGUCAUGAUGAUCCUACAGCAGGUCAUUUUGGCGUGGGUAAAACUCAUUCCAAAAUAGCCGACAUAUAUUAUUGGCCUACUUUAUUUCAGGACGUCAAGGAUUACGUCGACUCUUGUGAAAUUUGUAAAACUUAUAAACCUGUUAACUUAGCUCGUCCUGGUUUGAUGGGUAAUCCACGACGUGUAUCGUCGCCAGGCGAAGCAAUAUCUUGUGAUAUUCUUGGUCCCUUUCCUCCAUCUUAUCUGAGAAAUCAGUAUCUCUUCGUAUGUGCUGAUUAUUUCAGUAAGUAUGUGACUUUGUUUCCACUACGCAACAUAACUGCUAAAGCUAUCGUUAAGUGUAUGGAAAAAGGGAUAUUUCUUAUACAUGGGGUUCCUAAAUAUAUAUUCUGCGACAAUGGUGUUCAAUUUACUUCCAAAGACUUUCGAGACUUAAUGUCCAAAUAUGAUGUCCCUCAUAUUUUCUAUAACCCUAGGUAUCAUCCUCAGACGAAUCAAACGGAACGAGUGAACCGUGAACUAGUAAGAACCAUUGCCUCAUACGUGCGUUCUGAUCACCGUAACUGGGAUAAGAACGUAUCGGAAAUACAAUGUGCAUUGAAUACAGCUCGUCACGAAGUAACUAAAAACACACCGUAUUUCUUAACACACGGUCGUCAAAUGAUUCUAGAUGGUUCCCUUUAUAAUAGCGAAGGUCCCAUAGAUCAAAACGCGCUCGAAUUAGAUACCAGUGGUGCUUUUUCUGAAAGACUUAAAGAGCUCAAAACUGUAUUUCAAAAGGUGCGUAACUCGUUGAUUGCCUCCCAUGAACGUAACGCUAGGUAUUAUAACAUGAGGAAGCGUCACGUAGAACUGGAAGAAGGACAAAUCGUUUAUAAAAGAUGUUUCCCAUUGUCAAAUGCAGCAAAACAUUUUUCUGCUAAAUUAGCGCCCCGUUAUGACAAAUGUGUCAUUCAUAAAAAAUUGAGUCCUCUUGUAUACUCUUUAAAAUCCUUAGAAGGAAAACUUCUAGGUAACUUCCAUAUAAAAGACAUUGUACGUCCUGGUGAAGCCGAGCCGUCUUCCUAGCGGUACUCGUCUUAACACCAAUUGGAUACUUACACUUGAAAAUAUCCUAUGUGAUACUAAAUAUUGAACGUACCUACUAAACUGAAGGCGACCUGGCACAAGCUGGUUUUCAUCAGACUGGGUAUUUGUUCCAUGUUUUUGUUUUUUAUUGGUACCGGGUGCACACGGACCAACAUUAAUCUUUCAUGUGUCCUUAUAAAGACAUAAAACUUUAAAUAAUCUGAAUAAACUGCAGAAACUUACUUUACUUAUAAACCCUAAACGGGCCUAUUACAUGAAAUAUUAUUAAUUAUUGAAAAAGGGACUACGUUCUCGCUAAACUGUACUGUAACUGAACUUUUGUUUGUAAUUUUAGGAAUUGUGCUAGAGAAUGUAGCUUGUUACAUAUUUCCACUACUGUCGGUGAUAGGCAAUUUCUUUAAUAAAGGGAAGGUUGUUAACGUUGCCGUCUUUGACGUUUUCUUUUAGGUUUAGGAAAGCGCGCACUAGGAAUAAGAAGGUUCGAACCAAAAUUAGUCAUUAGAUUUCCUUGGUCGAACUGAUCAUUCACCAAGUCAUAGGUAUAACUUUGGUUGUAAGACUUGUUUUUCUUUAUAGAUUAUCUAUGGUUUCUUAUUUACGUUUCGUAGGUUAAGGUGUUCACUUCCUAUUGGGCGUAUAGCAUUAAAAAAAAAAUUUUUUUUGAAAAAAAAAAUUUUUUUUAACCCAACUAAAGAUGAACUGUAACACUUUGGGGUAUCCACCCAGUGUUAUAAACAGCUGAGUAGCAUAUUAUAUAGGUACUUUAUAGGUUAGAAAAUGGUAUGUUUGUUUUGGUAAGAUUUGGUAGUUGAAAUGUCUUCGACACGGAUGUCAUAGUGGGUCAGUCAAGGACUGAGACCUGUAGUGAUAUUUUCAACUUUACAUAUACGCUUUUAGCUAUAUUGAGUGGACAAAACUUACCGGAGCGGUAGGUCAGUCUGUGCGGUCACUCCGUUGCAUUUUGCGCAUCCAUGUCGUGUUCCUGCGUUGUGCUAGGACACAGGCACUUUGUUUUCGUUGUGGUAUAUACAUUUCACAAUUGAAAUACCUUUUAAAACAUAGAAAUACCACGUAUUAACAGUAUGAUUUUGAUAAAACCGAGCAGUUGUUUAUUUCAGCGGUAGACACUGACGGCUGUCAAUGUCAUUUGGUUUUUUUUUGUCCAUGGUUCCGUAACAGACGGUCGGUCACACUUGUUGUACGACAAUAAACAUAUACUUGUGGUUCUUUUAUCUUUUUAUAAUUUCCAAUUAUUAAUAAAGUCCGUAUUAUUUGCUUCCCAAAAUGAGUAACUCUUUUUAUUGUUGAUGUUUCGAAUUAUUCCGAGGGUCAAACCGGUCAGUCGCCGUAUCCAUUGAAUGGGUAGGUUUUCAUUCAUCAGUUUGUCUAUGGUUUCUCGGAUUGGAAUUUUGAUAAAUCAUUGUUCGAUCGAUCUUCAAGAUGUGAAGGAUAUUAGAAAAUCUUUCGGCAAUCAAUCUUAGGGGUAUGUAACCUACUUGAAGGUUUUAUUUCCUAAAACUGUGGUAAAUUCAAGUUAGUAAUCGUUAAUGUAAUUUUGUUACAGCUCGUCCCAAAAUGUGCAUAAUUUAGCGUCUUAGAGCCUACCUAAAAUGGCGGCUGCUAAUCUUUUCCCUUCAAUUUAACAUAACUUGCAAAACCUAAUGUAACGUCAACCACCUCUUCGUCUUGCCACGCGGUCUGCAGGCGCCGUCGUUGGUAUAGGAAAUAAUGGACACGGCAUAAACCCCGGUAAGUCAUUUAAUCGCUUCAUUGCCGUAAUUUAAAUCGCGCUGUGCCUCAGUUUAAAAUAUAAUUUUUCUAUAAAACUAAACGUGUUAAAACAUAAUUUUUUUUAACCUAGAACAUUUUCUUUGUUCUUAGGGUUUUUCCUGGACCCUGGUUUUUUCCUGGACCCUGGUUUUUUCUGGACCCUGGUUCUCUAAGGCUGUGCCAUCCGGUGGCAGCGUUCUUCUUGGCAGUGUCCGUGAAGUUAAGACUUUUAUGAAUAUACCUUUAGUUAAAUAUGGACUCUUUACGCUGAACAGGUAACCUGUAAUCCCUGUGAGCAAUUGCUUACUGCUAAACAUCCCCGGAGGUUGGGGCAUAACUUUUACUUUAGACAGUGUUAUGUUAGGAAGACAAAUUUUGAUAUUGUUGUCCGUAGACACAGAGAUGUCUAUGAUGUAUUUAGUGUAAAUUUCAAGAAAUAGUGGUGUCACUAAGAAGUAUUUAGUAUUACUUAUUUACUAAUAAAUAACUCGUGUUGACCGUAGCGGGUCAUAUAUAUUUAAGGAAUAAAGGUGUGUAUUAAAUAAA